AUUGAACGCUGGCGGCAGGCUUAACACAUGCAAGUCGAGCGAGCGGCGGACGGGUGAGUAAUGUCUGGGAAACUGCCUGAUAGAGGGGGAUAACUACUGGAAACGGUGGCUAAUACCGCAUACCAUCAGAUGUGCCCAGAUGGGAUUAGCUAGUAGGUGGGGUAAUGGCUCACCUAGGCGACGAUCCCUAGCUGGUCUGAGAGGAUGAACAGCCAAACUGGAACUGAGACACGGUCCAGACUCCUACGGGAGGCAGCAGUGGGGAAUAUUGCACAAUGGGAGCAAGCCUGAUGCAGCCAUGCCGCGUGUGUGAAGAAGGCCUUAGGGUUGUAAAGCACUUUCAGCGAGGAGGCGUUACUCGCAGAAGAAGCACCGGCUAACUCCGUGCCAGCAGCCGCGGUAAUUC
rnacentral:rRNA from 1 species